AUGAACGCUAGCUACAGGCCUAACACAUGCAAGUCGAGGGGCAGCAUGUUGGUUGCUUGCAACCAAUGAUGGCGACCGGCGCACGGGUGAGUAACGCGUAUCCAACCUUCCCCUUAGUAGAGGAUAGCCCGGCGAAAGUCGGAUUAAUACUCUAUGUUCUUCAAUGCGGACAUCUAAGUUGAAGCAAAGAUUUAUCGCUAAGGGAUGGGGAUGCGUCUGAUUAGGUUGCAGGCGGGGUAACGGCCCACCUGGCCUACGAUCAGUAGGGGUUCUGAGAGGAAGGUCCCCCCACACUGGUACUGAGACACGGACCAGACUCCUACGGGAGGCAGCAGUGAGGAAUAUUGGUCAAUGGGCGCGAGCCUGAACCAGCCAAGUAGCGCGCAGGACGAACCUGCCCUAUGGGUUGUAAACUGCUUUUAUCAGGGAAUAAAGUGAGGCACGCGUGCCUUUUUGUAUGUACCUGAUGAAUAAGGACUGGCUAAUUCCGUGCCAGCAGCCGC
rnacentral:rRNA from 1 species